ACUUCCAUUUAAAUGAGGACACAAGUGAAUCGCCAAAUAGAGGAUUGUGAUGAGCAGUGUUAUGAAGUCAUCAGUUCAUCCCGGCAGCAGGGCAACAAGUGUGACAAUUUCAGGGACACCCCUACCGCAGACUCAAAAGAAGUUUUCGUGUGGGUGAGCCCUGGUAGGAAAACCACUUGAAACAGAGAAGACUGUAUCCUGUAUGGGUAUUGAUGCUGCCACUAAAAGCAGGUGGUAAGCAUGAAGAAUGGCGGGGGAAAACAACAAAAGAAAUCAAG